AGGCACGUAGCUCAGUUGGUUAGAGCACCACCUUGACAUGGUNGGUCAACCGAAAGGUUGACCCUUUUUUGUUGA
rnacentral:tRNA from 1 species